CUGAAUGAUCAUCCUUGAUCUUCUUACCCUCAAACCACUGUGGAAGAUGAGAUGUGCUUCGGCGCCGACGGCGCCGCCUUUAUGCUCCAACAAUGUCUUUUUUUGUCUGAACAAUCGAAUGUCA
rnacentral:misc_RNA from 1 species